rnacentral:rRNA from 1 species
AUUGAACGCUGGCGGCAGGCCUAACACAUGCAAGUCGAGAGGAUCGGCGGACGGGAGAGUAAUGCCUAGGAAUCUGCCACGUCGUGGGGGAUAACGUCCGGAACCGGGAGCUAAAAACGCAACCUAUCAGAUGAGCCUAGGUCGGAUUAGCUAGAUGGUGGGGUAAAGGCCAACCUAGGCGACGAUCCGUAACUGGUCUGCGAGGAGUAUCAGUAACGCUGGAACUGAGACGAGGUCCAGACUCCUACGGGAGGCAGCAGUGGGUAAUAGUAGACAAUGGGCGCAUGCCUGAUCCAGCCAUGUCGCGGGUGUGAAGAAGUUCUUCGGGUUGUAAAGGACUUUAAGUUGGGAAGACUUACCAUCAGAAUAAGCACCGGCGAAUUUCGUGCCAGCAGACGCGGUAAUUC